CAUUGAAACACCAAUUCUCAUAUGAUCACCAAAGUUAAGCAACAUUGAGCCUGGUCAGUACCUAGAUGGGCAACUACUUGGGAAUACCAGGUGCUGUGA